rnacentral:rRNA from 1 species
ACGGGAGGCAGCAGUGAGGAAUAUUGGUCAAUGGAGGCAACUCUGAACCAGCCAUCUCGCGUGAAGGAAUACGGCCCUAUGGGUCUUAAACUUCUUUUAUAGGGGGAUAAAGUGAGGCAUGCAUGCCUUUUUGUAGGUACCCUAUGAAUAAGCAUCGGCUAACUCCGUGCCAGCAGCCGCGGUAAUACGGAGGAUGCAAGCGUUAUCCGGAUUUAUUGGGUUUAAAGGGUGCGUAGGCUGUGUGGCAAGUCAGCGGUGAAAUGCCGGAGCUCAACUCCGGAACUGCCGUUGAUACUGUCAUGCUGGAAUACGGAUGCCGUGGGAGGAAUGAGUAGUGUAGCGGUGAAAUGCAUAGAUAUUACUCAGAACACCGAUUGCGAAGGCAUCUCACGAAUCCGUCAUUGACGCUGAGGCACGAAAGCGUGGGGAUCAAACAGGAUUAGAUACCCUGGUA